AAGUGCUCAUUUUGAUUUGAUACUGCUCGGUUACAUGAGGUAGAACUUUCCUUUGUUUCGUUAUAUGCUAGAAGAGGGUUAAGGGAUAGAAAUGUAAAAGACUAGCACCAUUUGCGUGUGCUUCCCAUUCCCCUAUGCAGCUACACAGUGGGGGC